GAUGAACGCUGGCGGCGUGCCUAAUACAUGCAAGUCGAGCGAACAGAUAAGGAGCUUGCUCCUUUGACGUUAGCGGCGGACGGGUGAGUAACACGUGGGUAACCUACCUAUAAGACUGGAAUAACUCCGGGAAACCGGGGCUAAUGCCGGAUAACAUUUAGAACCGCAUGGUUCUAAAGUGAAAGAUGGUUUUGCUAUCACUUAUAGAUGGACCCGCGCCGUAUUAGCUAGUUGGUAAGGUAACGGCUUACCAAGGCAACGAUACGUAGCCGACCUGAGAGGGUGGUCGGCCACACUGGAGCUGAGACACGGUCCAGACUCCUACGGGAGGCAGCAGUAGGGAAUCUUCCGCAAUGGGCGAAAGCCUGACGGAGCGACGCCGCGUGAGUGAUGACGGUCUUCGGAUCGUAAAACUCGGUUAUUAGGGAAAAACAAAUGUGUAAGUAACUGUGCACGUCUUGACGGUAACUAAUCAGAAAGCCACGGCUAACUACGUG
rnacentral:rRNA from 1 species